GUGUUCCACAGACAUCCUACAUGCCUGACCUUAAUUCACUCUUACAUUUGACAGGACUUAGGAGCUCCACAGACAAGAUCUGUGGCAACAGUAACGAUAAAAUCAUCCCAUGUGACCAAACUCCUGCUGCAGAACAUGGCCGUCUACUCCACCCACCUGCCUUAGCAAAGUGCCCUUGGUGAGGCUGAGGAAUUGGGCAGCCAGGACUCCCCAGGGCACCUUGUCAUGGGGGGAAACCAUCUCUCACUGAGCGGUGAGUGCUGUUCCAUGACUGCCCUAAAACUGGGUUUGAACAAAAGACCACAUCCUGCAUGACUCCACUGGAAUGAAACAUCUAGAAUAGGCAAAGUCACAGAGGCAGGAAGCUGCUUCCUCAGACCACUGACACCUCUGGAGCUGAGGCUGGCAGAACGUGGUAGGGGCUUCUUUGAGAGCAUGGCAGCUUCUGAUGGACCCACUUGGUUUGGGUAAAGCAGUUGCCAGAAGAUAGCUGUGUGUGUCUGGGCUAGGGAGACCCAACAUUUCAGAGCCACCCACCCUGCAUCAUUGGCUGACAGGUGGGUAGGCACCAUGUCACCACUGUGUUCUGGGAAGAAUCAUUUCUCAG